rnacentral:rRNA from 1 species
ACUCCUACGGGAGGCAGCAGUGGGGAAUAUUGCACAAUGGGGGAAACCCUGAUGCAGCGACGCCGCGUGGAGGAAGAAGGUCUUCGGAUUGUAAACUCCUGUUGUUGAGGAAGAUAAUGACGGUACUCAACAAGGAAGUGACGGCUAACUACGUGCCAGCAGCCGCGGUAAAACGUAGGUCACAAGCGUUGUCCGGAAUUACUGGGUGUAAAGGGAGCGCAGGCGGGAAGACAAGUUGGAAGUGAAAUCUAUGGGCUCAACCCAUAAACUGCUUUCAAAACUGUUUUUCUUGAGUAGUGCAGAGGUAGGCGGAAUUCCCGGUGUAGCGGUGGAAUGCGUAGAUAUCGGGAGGAACACCAGUGGCGAAGGCGGCCUACUGGGCACCAACUGACGCUGAGGCUCGAAAGUGUGGGUAGCAAACAGGAUUAGAUACCCUGGUAGUCCACACCGUAAACGAUGAUUACUAGGUGUUGGAGGAUUGACCCCUUCAGUGCCGCAGUUAACACAAUAAGUAAUCCACCUGGGGAGUACGACCGCAAGGUUGAAACUCAAAGGAAUUGACGGGGGCCCGCACAAGCAGUGGAGUAUGUGGUUUAAUUCGACGCAACGCGAAGAACCUUACCAAGUCUUGACAUCCCUUGACAGGCAUAGAAAUAUGUUUUCUCUUCGGAGCAAGGAGACAGGUGGUGCAUGGUUGUCGUCAGCUCGUGUCGUGAGAUGUUGGGUUAAGUCC